rnacentral:rRNA from 1 species
GGCGCUGGAUCGGAGACAUUAUCGAGUUUUGACUGGGUUGUACUGGCCUUCCGAGGCAUGUGCACGCCCUGCUCAUCCGCUCUACACCUGUGCACUUACUGUGGGUCUCGGAUAGCGAAGCGAGUCCUUUUGCGGGCCCGCGGAUCGUCUGUGCCUGCGUUUAUUACAAACACAUACAAAGUAUCAGAACGUGUAUUGCGAUGUAACGCAUCUAUAUACAACUUUCAGCAACGGAUCUCUUGGCUCUCGCAUCGAUGAAGAACGCAGCGAAAUGCGAUAAGUAAUGUGAAUUGCAGAAUUCAGUGAAUCAUCGAAUCUUUGAACGCACCUUGCGCUCCUUGGUAUUCCGAGGAGCAUGCCUGUUUGAGUGUCAUGAAACCUUCAACCUAUAAAGCCUUUGCGGGUUUGUAGGCUUGGACUUGGAGGCUUGGGCCUGGGGGCUUUGUCGGCCUGUUAGCGGUCGGCUCCUCUUAAAUGCAUUAGUUCGAUUCCUUGCGGAUCGGCUCUCGGUGUGAUAAAUGUCUACGCCGCGACCGUGAAGCGUUUGACGAGCUUCCAAUCGUCUCGCGUGAGACAACAUAUUGACCUCUGACCUCAAUCGUAGUUCCUU